UGUUUUCUGCGACGAACUUCUUCAUCUUCUUUCCAGCUAGUUGAUUCUCCUUCUAAAUGCAUCUUUUUCCCCGUUGGAAAGCACAGGACCUAAUCCGUCCCUUCGGGGACAUCCGAUAAAAUUGGAACGAUACAGAGAAGAUUAGCAUGGCCCCUGCGCAAGGAUGACACGCACAAAUCGAGAAAUGGUCCAAAUUUCUUUUCCGUUUUCAUCCCCAAAUCGGCCUCAAUUAGCGGUGGUGGAUUUCGUGGGUUCUUCCUGAGAAACCCCUAUUUGUUCGUUUUUGUUCUUGGUUUCUUAUUAGCGGUGGCGGGCAUUGUUUUCAGUUGCCAUUUUGGUGUUCGCUCAGGUUCGUUCUGAGAAUCAUCUCUGCUAAGAAGAUAGGGUAAUGAUGAAAAUAUUUAGGGCAGUGAUGAGUUUCGUUUUAAGUUUCAUUUCCUGAAUCUGGAAAACUUUUUUUCCCAAAAAAUGGAAAGGUAGAUUGCCUGAUCUGGUUGUUUGUAGGGUUUAUGUAUUUUGAGAGAGAGAGAGAGAGAGAGAGAGAGAGAGAGACAUUGUUACGGUACUAAGGAUUCUGAUUUAUGUAUUUUGCGGUACUUGUCACUUUGUCAUUUUGACAGGGUUGAUAAGACUUCAUCUAGUUGCUUGUUUGCAACACGUCUCAGUUUGUCUGUUGUUUCAUAUCUUGGAUAAAGAUGUAACAUUCAAUGUGUAAAAGUGUUGAGAGUGCUAGGCAUAAAUGUUUUGGAUAAAGAUCCUCGAAACUGCAUUUUGCAUUUGAAUGGGUAGCUUUUGAUGGGGAAAAAAACAGAGUUGAUUUUUGCAGUACCGAAAAUUAAUUCUAGGUGGGGUAGGAAUCUUCCACAAAGUUUUCUAGAAUCCAUUCAGUCACAUCUAAAUCCAUGAGCAUCCUAUAAGCAUCUGCAGCCUGUAAAUUCACUGCAAUUACCCUUCUUCCAAAUUAGAGAUUUAUGUUGAAUGCUGAAAACUAGUUCUUGGUACUGCUGUAUAGGUUCUUUGUGUCUUUUUGUUCAGUUUUGAAUGAAAGUUUUCCAGUUUUAUUCAAAAGUUAUGUUGUUACUAUAGCAUUGCUGAAUGGUCUGCAGCAUGUAAAGAUGUCACACUAAUUUUAUGCAAGUAGCAGUCCUAAUCAUGAUCUUGCUAAUUGAACACUUUCUAGAUGAUAAUUCAAAUGUGCAGACACAGGCUAAACUUCAUGUGGAAUUUUUGAUUGAAUAUCAUUCCUUUCUAACCAAAGACACCACAAAACGAGAAAGACUGCACAUUGCCAUGGCACUGUUGUAUAAUCCUUGGUUAUUUGCAUUUGAACUUUUGAAACUCAUGGCACAAACUUCAGGUGAUAAAGCUUAUUUAAUUUUUGAAGUCGGAAUACUUUAGGCUGGAACUUGAACAUAAUUUUAAUGAAGUGAAAAUUAAGCUGAACUGUUAUAUCAUCCUUUUCUUGAAAUGGAAUGCCUUCUGUUAAUUUUAAGUAUUUUUGUCAGAGAUGCUUAACGUAUAUGCUUCAACCCAUCUCCGUUAGAAAUGAAAUUUAUAUUUUCUGGUAAAGUGGUUUUUUUUUUUUUUAAAAAUAUUUUGAAUGGAAUGGGUUUCCUUACUUUGUAUUUUGCAGAAAUUUUUGUAGUUGAGGGUAAUUCUGCUGGAGGAAGUGCUAAACAAGGUCUUGACCGGCGUGUCCAAGUAAAUUAUAAAUCUUGGGAUGAAUUCCUAUUGCAGUGAAACCACUUAAUUUAAUCAAUUAUUUUAGCUGAUAAUAAGGAGCGGCAUGGGCAAAGAGAAAUCAUGAUAACAAUAACUAAUUGGAAUUAAUACCUUACAAAAGCUUAGAUUUGUGAGGGAAACACUUUUUAAUUGCCAUAGCCUUCUAUCCAUUUGAGCAAUAAAGAAAUUGCUCUUGCAUAGCCAUUUCUACCACCCUCGGACAUUAUUGAUGACAUUUACACAACAGAAAGUGAAUGAAUUUAUAGUGUUAAUAUUUUCAAUUGUGCAGGGGACUCUUUUCUAGCUUUGAAGUGAAUAUUGAUGAAUGAUGAUGUUACUUGGUUUAUUUUCUUGAAGGCUUAUGAUUACUUGUGGAAAGGAAGACAGUAAAUUUAUUGAUAUUGAUGUGAUGAUAUUAUGAAGUUCCCUCCAGCUGCAGUGUUUCCAUUUGUAUUUAGCAUUCAUAUUCCUGGAUACACUGAAUUCAGAAAGUACUGGGUAGCUGCAAGUUUUAUUUUUUGUUAGUAAUAGUCUAUCAAUUUAAAUGUUAAACCUAUUGGCUAAAUCAAGGAUAGGAUUUUAAAAAGGAUGUAGAUGGUGCUCACAUCCACACUCUCCUGUUGACAUUUUUCUUCAGACAUCAGGUAAAGGAUGAGAAUAGUUUUCAUCAGUCUACUUCUACGAACAAAACCAGGUCAUGUCAUUUACAGAAUAAAUGCAAAUUACAUGAUCUAAUGCAGCAUACAACUUGCAAAGGUUAAAAGGUAUGAUGUUAAUUUGUGGUGCAUGCGUACUUAAUGUUUUCUACUAUUAUUCCAUUUGGAGAAAUAUAUACUUUUUAAUUAGAAUGGACCUUUGUUCCCAAGCAGAAAUUUUACGAGUGAUUAUUAGUUUUAGAAUGCAUACCUUUCCUUCAAUGGUUUAUGUAACAAUUAUUUUUAUCAUUGCACACCUUUUGUGCACUUCUAGUAAUAAAUAUAUUCAAAAACAGACUGAAAGCUGUAUUAUGAUCGAGUCAGGAUAUAAAAAAUUCCCGAUCUUCAAUCUUCAAUUAAUUUAUGCACUUCUACUCUUUCAUUCUACAAGAUUCAUGCUUUCCCUUCCUUUGAAUGAAUUUUCUAGGAGAUAAGUCCUCACUUAUAAGUAGUUUGUCAUUUUAAGUUCUAUGGAUGCAGGACAUGGGGGAGAUGAUGCCUUCAUAACUAUGGGAGACGACGACGGAUCCAGAACAGAGUUUUGAAGCAAUUAGUGAAGAGACAGAAGUAAAUGCACACACGUGAGAUGAUGUACCUCAUGGACUAAAUAUGGCUCUGUGGUUGUGUAUGUAUUUAGAGUUUGAUUUUAUUUUGAUAAUUUAUUGUACUCUCUUGUAGUAAAAGAUUAUAUUUUGAAAGUUUAUUGUAUCAACAUACUAUAAAUUGGUUUUAAUUUGUUAGUUAAAUUGAAUUUUUGUUUGUUUUU